UGAUUUUACUCGUAGCAGGUGACUAGCAU
rnacentral:piRNA from 1 species